rnacentral:lncRNA from 1 species
AUGCACCCUCUAAUACUGCAGAGAUUCCGUUGCCUGAAAGAACAAACAUCAGCCUUGGUCGAUGCUCCGUUCCCAUGGAGACAGAGGUUCCAUUUCAGGGAAAUAUUAAAGCAGAAAUUUCAAAGGGACUUCAGAAAAUGCGUAAAGCACCUCAGUAAAGAAACAAGUAUGCAGGAAAUGAGCAAAGGAGAUGGUAUAAGGAGUACAGCAGCGAGAAGAGGCACUGGAUUACUAAAAAUACUUCUAUUUUCGUCUUCAGAUUGUUACCUGAAACUUUGGCAAGUUGGUGAUGAUUUCUUUUGGUUUGCUGUUUGA